rnacentral:rRNA from 1 species
UAUAGAAUUUUAUAUUAACUUUACCUAGCGGUUAAUGCUGGUUUUUUGUUAAUAUUUGGUUGGGAGGAUUAUUAAAUUUAACAAACUUUAUAUCAUUAUAAACUUUGAUUUAAGAAAAUAUAAUGAUCUUCAAUUUGAAAUAGUUAGAGUAAAUUACCUUAGGGAUAACAGCGUAAUAUUUUUUUAUAGACCUUAUAGAAAAAAAUGGUUGCGACCUCGAUGUUGAAUUAAGAUAAAUUUUAAAUGCAGGAGUUUAAUAAUUAAGUCUGU